GAUGAACGCUAGCUACAGGCUUAACACAUGCAAGUCGCGGGGCAGCAUGGGGGUUGCUUGCCAUCCCCGAUGGCGACCGGCGCACGGGUGAGUAACGCGUAUCCAACCUGCCCUUCACCACGGGAUAACCCGGCGAAAGUCGGACUAAUACCGUAUGUUGUCCAUUGACGGCAUCCGCUUUGGACGAAAGGCUUGGCGGUGAGGGAUGGGGAUGCGUCCGAUUAGCCAGACGGCGGGGUAACGGCCCACCGUGGCUACGAUCGGUAGGGGUUCUGGGAGGAAGGUCCCCCACACUGGAACUGAGACACGGUCCAGACGCCUACGGGAGGCAGCAGUGAGGAAUAUUGGUCAGUGGGCGUAAGCCUGAGCCAGCCAAGUAGCGUGCAGGAUGACGGCCCUAUGGGUUGUAAACUGCUUUUAUGCGGGGAUAAAGUGGCCCACGUGUGGGCUUUUGCAGGUACCGCAUGAAUAAGGACCGGCUAAUUCCGUG
rnacentral:rRNA from 1 species